rnacentral:lncRNA from 1 species
AUGCGGCGGAUCUCGUGGCGGUUGGAGAAGAUAAUGAAGGGCUUGAAGGGGUCUGGGGAAAGGAAGGCAGCGUCAGAAGUGGGGCAUGGACAAGGCAGGAACUGCAUGGGACCAACUGUCUUCAUGUCUGCGGGUGAAAGGUGGCCUGGGCUCCUGGCCCCCGGCCCCAGCUGCAGGACCAUCUGCAUCCCCAUACCGCAGACCCUCCUGCCCGCCCCACCACCGGCAUCGCUUCUCUUCUCUCCCCGCUCGGAGGGCCAGCCUGUGUGGCCAGACCCCGAGGAGAACCAGCCUGGGGUACCAUCACAAUCCUCCUUAGCCUCGCACACGGCCGAGGCUCUCGCCCCGCUGGUGCCUGCACCCCCCCGCUGCGUCCUCUGGCUCCGGAUAAAACAUCCCCUGGCUGUGCCACUUGCUCUGGGCACUGGGAACAGAGCUGCCUUUCUUGUGCCAUCAAGCCUGCCAACCGCAAUGAGGACAGCCCGAGGACAGGGACAUGGCUGUGCCCUUGGUGGGGGAGAGUUUGGGCUCCCCCCCGCAGCGGCAGCAGACCCUUGGCAGGACAGUGCUGCCGCUGCACACAAAGCAGGUUCCCACAGGCUGGCAGAGUCCCCCAAGCCCCUUCUGCCCUCAGACCCGGGGCCGCUUCUCUGCUCUGCAGGAAGGAGGCCAGCAAGGGCGGAUGCAAAUUCCCUGCUUAAAAUUCCUGAGGGGAAACAGGCCAGGUCUGAGCUCUGGGCUGGCCCUGGGAGGGAGAAGGUGGCCACGGAGCCGUGUCUCCAGCAGAGGGCAGCUCCUGCCGGGGUAGGGACAGCGAGGGGUCCACCCUCUUCUGGCAGAUCCUCCAGCCCAGACCAGGCCAGGCCAUGGUCCCCGCCAGCAUGGUCUGCAGCUCCGCUGCAAAACCCUGCAACCCACAGGGCCCCCAGCUCUCACCCCACCACACGCACCCAGGCUGCGGCAGCUCUCGCCGUCGGGCUCCAGCAUCCAGCCCUCAUAGCAGGAGCACUUCACGUUGUACUUGUCCUGCUCGCACUUCUGGCUGCACUUGAGGUGCUUGGCACAGUAGCUCUGGAUCUGGCAGGUCUUGUUAUCUGA